CGGGCAGGCCAAGCAGUCGCGGAGGUUCGCCUUCGAGGAAAGUCCGGACAUCAAAGGGCAGGGUGGUCGGGGAAUCCGACCCGGGGAAACCCGCGGGAAAGUGCCACAGAAACACACCGCCGAUGGCGCGGCCACACGUGAGCCGCGCACAGGCAAGGGUGAAAAGGUGCGGUAAGAGCGCACCGGCGUCGUGGCGACACGGCGGCCAGGCAAACCCCACCCGAUG
rnacentral:RNase_P_RNA from 1 species